UUCAGCUAUAGGUUAGUUUUUAAACUAUUAAUUUGUGGUGUUAGUGAGUUGCUUUUGCAAUAGUUGAAA
rnacentral:tRNA from 1 species